rnacentral:tRNA from 1 species
UCCCGUUUGGCUCAGUUGGUAGAGCAUGGUGUUUGCAACGCCAGGGUUGUGGGUUCGAUUCCCACGGGGGAC